GAUGAACGCUAGCGGCAGGCUUAAUACAUGCAAGUCGAGGGGCAGCAGCUUUGUAGCAAUACAGGGGCUGGCGACCGGCAAACGGGUGCGGAACACGUACGCAACCUUCCUUUAACUGGAAGAUAGCCCACCGAAAGGUGGAUUAAUACUCCAUAACAUAUUGAAGAGGCAUCUCUUUGAUAUUAAAGCUCCGGCGGUUAAAGAUGGGCGUGCGUCUGAUUAGGUAGUUGGCGGGGUAACGGCCCACCAAGCCUUCGAUCAGUAGCUGAUGUGAGAGCAUGAUCAGCCAAACGGGAACUGGGACACGGGCCCGACUCCUACGGGAGGCAGCAGUAAGGAAUAUUGGUCAAUGGACGCAAGGCUGAACCAGCCAUGCCGCGUGGAGGAUGAAGGCCCUCUGGGUUGUAAACUUCUUUUCUUUGGGACGAAACCCCUGUUUCUACGGGGACUGACGGUACCAGAGGAAUAAGCACCGGCUAACUCCGUGCCAGCCGCCGCGGUAACAC
rnacentral:rRNA from 1 species